CGGACGGGUGAGUAACACGUGGAUAACCUACCUAUAAGACUGGGAUAACUUGGGAAACCGGAGCUAAUACCGGAUAAUAUAUUGAACCGCAUGGUUCAAUAGUGAAAGACGGUUUUGCUGUCACUUAUAGAUGGAUCCGCGCCGCAUUAGCUAGUUGGUAAGGUAACGGCUUACCAAGGCGACGAUGCGUAGCCGACCUGAGAGGGUGAUCGGCCACACUGGAACUGAGACACGGUCCAG
rnacentral:rRNA from 1 species